rnacentral:lncRNA from 1 species
CUCGAUUCACUCAGCUUCAAGUCGGCCAGACUCCAAUGCGCAGGCUCAAUCAGUCAGACUUGGUAUUUGUCUUUCUGGAUCAUGCUGGGGUAUGAUUCUCAUUGCGGACAGAAUAACAACAAGAAGACCUUGAGAAUAAGCAUCAAUUUGUGAGCCCCAAGGGCGAAGAAGCUUUCCUGAAGCAACAACAGGAACAGGAAG